rnacentral:rRNA from 1 species
UACAGAGGGUGCGAGCGUUGUUCGGAAUUAUUGGGCGUAAAGCGCGUGUAGGCGGGAUGGCAAGUCGGGUGUGAAAGCCCUCAGCUCAACUGAGGAAGUGCGCCCGAAACUACUGUUCUUGAGUGUCGGAGAGGGUGGCGGAAUUCCCGGUGUAGAGGUGAAAUUCGUAGAUAUCGGGAGGAACACCUAUGGCGAAGGCAGCUCGCUGGGACGUUACUGACGCUGAGACGCGAAAGCGUGGGGAGCAAACAGG